rnacentral:rRNA from 1 species
GUGCAGCGCCGCGGUAAUACGGAGGGUGCAAGCGUUGUCCGGAAUCACUGGGCGUAAAGGGUGCGCAGGCGGGGCAGCAAGUCGGAGGUGAAAGCCCAUGGCUCAACCAUGGAAGUGCCUUCGAAACUGUUGCUCUUGAGUCCCGGAGAGGCUGUCGGAAUUCGUGGUGUAGCGGUGAAAUGCGUAGAUAUCACGAGGAACACCAGAGGCGAAAGCGGGCAGCUGGACGGGUACUGACGCUCAGGCACGAAAGCGUGGGGAGCAAACAGGAUUAGAUACCCUUGUAGUCC